GCUAGUGUAGCUUAGUCUCAAAGCAUAACACUGAAAAUGUUAAGAUGGGCCCUAGAAAAGUCCCACAAGCAC